CCCCGCGUGCGCAUGCGCUGCGCUCCUUUUUUUAUGAAUGGGGGGCCGGAAAAGAACUUAACCCGUGAUUGCUGGGGCUGGCUCUCGCUCCUCAAGGGGCCGUCGUUCUUUUACAAAGAGGGGUGGAGGUUGGUUUUCUGUGUUUUUUUUUUUUCUGAAUGAAUGGAGGGCGGCGGCGACUGCUGCAGCUGGCUCAGCUGCGCGGGCUGUACCCCCUCCCAGCCUACAAGAGGAGGUACCUAGUAGAGGACUUGCACCAAGAAAACCAAAGAGUGAAUCGAGUGUGGACCCUAAGAGAAUAACUACAUUGCUCAGAGAAGAGCAAACUGAGGAGUUCAGAAGGUGAUGGAGCUGGAAGUCCCACCUGACUUCUCUGUCUUCUUAGCGCAUGCUUGGAAUCAUGGCACAAUACAAAGACCUAAGAAAACAUAUGUAAGAGGAAGCACUGAAGACAAAUGAUUGCUUUCUAGAGUGUGACGUUUCUUCACAUGCACUGUGAGCAGACCCCGGCCUUCGUUUUAGGGAUUUCUGGACUCGUGUUCUGACCACCAAGCACCACUGUUUCUCUUCGGGGUUUGGACUGUCAGAGUCCAUUUCUCAGGUUCCAGAACAACACGCAGACACAAAGGGAAGUCUCGAGGCCCAAAUACCACCGCCACGCCCACCGUCCAGGUCCUCUGCUAGCACUGCCGGGUAGCACCUGCGAUAUUUUCCCACAUGAGUUCUGUCAUCUCUUAUGUCAGUUGGAGCCAGCAGCUCUCAAAUCAGUCUUCUAGCAUCCAGGAAUGUGUCGCAACACUCUCGGACUGGCGGAGAGACACCUGAGCAGAACAACUUCCAGUAACCGAAGACACUGAUGAUCAAAUGGUACAUGUGGGCAGUUACAGAUUUUUGCAAAAGGAAGGCUACAUAAAUUUAAGAUAAGAAGCUUUCCUCUUCAUACCCAUCCACCAUGUUUCUGCCUUGGAGCCAUCCAAACCUCUGAAAUGGUAAGCCCAGACAAGCCUUUUCUUCUUUAGUUGUGUAUGUCAGGUAUUUUGUCCUAGUAACAGAAAGGUGACAAUUAUAGCAACUGAAAGGCAAAGCGGUGACCAGGAAGAAAUGAGAUGCCAGUGUCAGCCAAAGGAAGAAGGAAGGAGAGAGAUUGUCAUAGGAAGUGAAGGUCUUCUAUGCAGGAAUUGGUUAAGAGGAGAUUUAUUUAAAGGUACUAUUUCCUUAGCUACAUGUUUGAGAAGAGAUUGAUUAUUGGCUAAUGGACCAUGUUAAUAUUAAAUGCUUUACUGAGUCACAACCACAUUCAAAGCAUUGAGACUGCAAAUGGAAGGAGUUUGUCACUUGGUUGCUGUGUGAUAUCUUUCCUCUGUGAACCUUCACAUAUACACCUGUUUAGAAAAAGAUGACAAAGAUGACUGAACAGGAUGCUUUGUCCCCAAGAUCUCUGAGGCUCCAUAGAGGCUGUAGAAGUAUGUUCUUUCUAGGCUGGAUCCCUGUAGGGUUGGGCAGUUGUUUUAACUUCCUGCCUCUCAAUCUUAUUUCUACCAGAUAGGAUGAUUUUAUCUGCAAAUUGAUAGAAAAACUAACUGAAGCCAAUUUAAGCA